AUUCAGUUGGGGCUUCCGUGGCAGCACUGGCCGAUUGAGCAAAACGGAUCCCAGAACUGGGCCGGGUCGGCUGUGCAGGUUACGGUUCUCGACGCAUUUUCUCCCGCUCUGAGGACGCCGUAGCCGGUUGGGAAGACUCGACGGACUAAAGGACGUGCGUUGGCAGGUGGCCGGUGGCGUGGCUUCGGCUGUGCCGUCGGUUGUUAGCCUGUUCGUCCGGUCUCGUCGCCCGACCGAGGUUUUUGCGGUCCGGAUGGACCCUAUGCAAUGUCCGCCUCCUCCCUUUAGCAGGAGAGCCGGGAUUAGAACGCAGCAAGCGUUCGUUGAUGGUGCGGUCGCACUCUCUGACUGAGUGGGCCAGUGCCGUCCCGACGUUGAUGAGCUACGUCGUGCCCGUGGGAGUGCUGGCGGCUAGCGGCGAGUAGAUCGGUCACCCACCCGACCCGUCUUGAAACACGGACCAAGGAGUCUAACAUGUGCGCGAGUCAAUGGGUCUUGAUCAGGCCCAGAGGCGCAAUGAAAGCAAAGGGCGGCGAAGGCCGUCUGAGUUGGGAUCCUGGGGCUUUCGCGUCCAAGGAGCACCAACGACCCGUCCUUUCCGAUUUAUCUCGGUUGGGCGGAGUAUGAGCGUACACGUUGGGACCCGAAAGAUGGUGAACUAUGCCCGGGCAGGACGAGGCCAGAGGAAACUCUGGUGGAGGUCCGUAGCGGUUCUGACGUGCAAAU
rnacentral:rRNA from 1 species